AGAGUUUGAUCCUGGCUCAGGAUGAACGCUGGCGGCGUGCCUAAUACAUGCAAGUCGAGCGAACAGACAAGGAGCUUGCUCCUUUGACGUUAGCGGCGGACGGGUGAGUAACACGUGGGUAACCUACCUAUAAGACUGGGAUAACUUCGGGAAACCGGAGCUAAUACCGGAUAAUAUUUCGAACCGCAUGGUUCGAUAGUGAAAGAUGGUUUUGCUAUCACUUAUAGAUGGACCCGCGCCGUAUUAGCUAGUUGGUAAGGUAACGGCUUACCAAGGCGACGAUACGUAGCCGACCUGAGAGGGUGAUCGGCCACACUGGAACUGAGACACGGUCCAGACUCCUACGGGAGGCAGCAGUAGGGAAUCUUCCGCAAUGGGCGAAAGCCUGACGGAGCAACGCCGCGUGAGUGAUGAAGGUCUUCGGAUCGUAAAACUCUGUUAUUAGGGAAGAACAUACGUGUAAGUAACUAUGCACGUCUUGACGGUACCUAAUCAGAAAGCCACGGCUAACUACGUGCCAGCAGCCGCGGUAAUACGUAGGUGGCAAGCGUUAUCCGGAAUUAUUGGGCGUAAAGCGCGCGUAGGCGGUUUUUUAAGUCUGAUGUGAAAGCCCACGGCUCAACCGUGGAGGGUCAUUGGAAACUGUAAAACUUGAGUGCAGAAGAGGAAAGUGGAAUUCCAUGUGUAGCGGUGAAAUGCGCAGAGAUAUGGAGGAACACCAGUGGCGAAGGCGACUUUCUGGUCUGUAACUGACGCUGAUGUGCGAAAGCGUGGGGAUCAAACAGGAUUAGAUACCCUGGUAGCCCACGCCGUAAACGAUGAGUGCUAGGUGUUAGGGGGUUUCCGCCCCUUAGUGCUGCAGCUAACGCAUUAAGCACUCCGCCUGGGGAGUACGACCGCAAGGUUGAAACUCAAAGGAAUUGACGGGGACCCGCACAAGCGGUGGAGCAUGUGGUUUAAUUCGAAGCAACGCGAAGAACCUUACCAAAUCUUGACAUCCUUUGACAACUCUAGAGAAGAGCUUUCCCCUUCGGGGGACAAAGUGACAGGUGGUGCAUGGUUGUCGUCAGCUCGUGUCGUGAGAUGCUGGGUUAAGUCCCGCAACGAGCGCAACCCUUAAGCUUAGUUGCCAUCAUUAAGUUGGGCACUCUAAGUUGACUGCCGGUGACAAACCGGAGGAAGGUGGGGAUGACGUCAAAUCAUCAUGCCCCUUAUGAUUUGGGCUACACACGUGCUACAAUGGACAAUACAAAGGGCAGCGAAACCGCGAGGUCAAGCAAAUCCCAUAAAGUUGUUCUCAGUUCGGAUUGUAGUCUGCAACUCGACUACAUGAAGCUGGAAUCGCUAGUAAUCGUAGAUCAGCAUGCUACGGUGAAUACGUUCCCGGGUCUUGUACACACCGCCCGUCACACCACGAGAGUUUGUAACACCCGAAGCCGGUGGAGUAACCAUUUGGAGCUAGCCGUCGAAGGUGGGACAAAUGAUUGGGGUGAAGUCGUAACAAGGUAACC
rnacentral:rRNA from 1 species